GACGAACGUUGGCGGCGUGCUUAACACAUGCAAGUCGAACGGAAAGGCCCUGCUUUUGUGGGGUGCUCGAGUGGCAAACGGGUGAGUAACACGUGAGUAACCUGCCCUUGACUUUGGGAUAACUUCAGGAAACUGGGGCUAAUACCGGAUAGGAGCUCCUGCUGCAUGGUGGGGGUUGGAAAGUUUCGGCGGUUGGGGAUGGACUCGCGGCUUAUCAGCUUGUUGGUGGGGUAGUGGCUUACCAAGGCUUUGACGGGUAGCCGGCCUGAGAGGGUGACCGGCCACAUUGGGACUGAGAUACGGCCCAGACUCCUACGGGAGGCAGCAGUGGGGAAUAUUGCACAAUGGGCGGAAGCCUGAUGCAGCAACGCCGCGUGCGGGAUGACGGCCUUCGGGUUGUAAACCGCUUUCGCCUGUGACGAAGCGUGAGUGACGGUAAUGGGUAAAGAAGCACCGGCUAACUACGUG
rnacentral:rRNA from 1 species